rnacentral:misc_RNA from 1 species
GAUGAAGAACGUAGCGAAAUGCGAUAAGUAAUGUGAAUUGCAGAAUUCAGUGAAUCAUCGAAUCUUUGAACGCACAUUGCGCCCGCCAGUAUUCUGGCGGGCAUGCCUGUUCGAGCGUCAUUACAACCCUCAGGCCCCCGGGCCUGGCGUUGGGGAUCGGCGGAAGCCCCCUGUGGGCACACGCCGUCCCUCAAAUACGGUGGCGGUCCCGCCGCAGCUUCCAUUGCGUAGUAGCUAACACCUCGCAACUGGAGAGCGGCGCGGCCAUGCCGUAAAACACCCAACUUCUGAAUGUUGACCUCGAAUCAGGUAGGAAUACCCGCUGAACUUAAGCAUAUCAAUAAGCGGAGGA